rnacentral:snRNA from 1 species
GGAUGUGAAGGUGGUCUGGCUGUGACAUUUGUCACCCUGCUGAUCACCAGUGUUGAUUUGGCUCACCUGGCUGGCUAGGCAGGUGUCCCCUUCCUCCCUCACCGUUCCAUGUGCGUCCAUCCAGAAGCUGUGUGCUAGGUCCAAGAGCACGACCUUCUCUGAUAGAGGAAGACGUGUUCUUCGGUCAAGGGGAACGAGUGAUGGCUCUCCCCUGCUAAAACCUCCAAACAACUCUCAAGGUCCAUUUGUAGAAGAUGUAGGAUAGUCAAGCUUCCAAGACUCCAGACACACCCACAUUAGGCGCUGCAGCUAGCAGUCAGCCUUUCUUU